CGUGUUAAUAGCACGUUGCUGUGACGUUAGCGACAGAAGAAGCACCGGCUAACUCCGUGCCAGCAGCCGCGGUAAUACGGAGGGUGCGAGCGUUAAUCGGAAUUACUGGGCGUAAAGCGCGUGUAGGUGGCUUGUUAAGCCAGAUGUGAAAGCCCCGGGCUCAACCUGGGAACUGCAUUUGGAACUGGCAGGCUAGAGUUUUGUAGAGGGUGGUAGAAUUUCAGGUGUAGCGGUGAAAUGCGUAGAGAUCUGAAGGAAUACCGGUGGCGAAGGCGACCACCUGGCCAAUAACUGACACUGAGACGCGAAGGCGUGGGUAGCAAACGGGAUUAGAUACCCCGGUAGUCCACGCAGUAAACGAUGUCUAUUAGGAGUUUGUGGCUAUAUGCCGUGGGCUCCAAAGCUAACGCAUUAAAUAGACCGCCUGGGGAGUACGGCCGCAAGGUUAAAACUCAAAUGAAUUGACGGGGGCCCGCACAAGCGGUGGAGCAUGUGGUUUAAUUCGAUGCAACGCGAAGAACCUUACCUACUCUUGACAUCCACGGAAUUUAGCAGAGAUGCUUUAGUGCCUUCGGGAACCGUGAGACAGGUGCUGCAUGGCUGUCGUCAGCUCGUGUUGUGAAAUGUUGGGUUAAGUCCCGCAACGAGCGCAACCCCUAUCCUUAGUUGCCAGCACGUAAUGGUGGGAACUCUAGGGAGACUGCCGGUGAUAAACCGGAGGAAGGUGGGGACGACGUCAAGUCAUCAUGGCCCUUACGAGUAGGGCUACACACGUGCUACAAUGGCGGAUACAAAGGGCAGCUAACUUGCGAGAGUGUGCGAAUCCCAAAAAGUCCGUCGUAGUCCGGAUUGGAGUCUGCAACUCGACUCCAUGAAGUCGGAAUCGCUAGUAAUCGUGGAUCAGAAUGCCGCGGUGAAUACGUUCCCGGGCCUUGUACACACCGCCCGUCACACCAUGGGAGUGGGCUGCAAAAGAAGUAGGUAGUUUAACCUUCGGGAGGACGCUUACCACUUUGUGGUUCAUGACUGGGGUGAAGUCGUAACAAGGUAGCCCUAGGGGAACCUGGGGCUGGAUCACCUCCUUA
rnacentral:rRNA from 1 species